rnacentral:rRNA from 1 species
GACGAACGCUGGCGGCGUGCCUAAUACAUGCAAGUUGAGCGCUGAAGGUUGGUACUUGUACCAACUGGAUGAGCAGCGAACGGGUGAGUAACGCGUGGGGAAUCUGCCUUUGAGCGGGGGACAACAUUUGGAAACGAAUGCUAAUACCGCAUAAAAACUUUAAACACAAGUUUUAAGUUUGAAAGAUGCAAUUGCAUCACUCAAAGAUGAUCCCGCGUUGUAUUAGCUAGUUGGUGAGGUAAAGGCUCACCAAGGCGAUGAUACAUAGCCGACCUGAGAGGGUGAUCGGCCACAAUGGGACUGGGACACGGCCCAAACUCCUACGGGAGGCAGCAGUAGGGAAUCUUCGGCAAUGGACGAAAGUCUGACCGAGCAACGCCGCGUGAGUGAAGAAGGUUUUCGGAUCGUAAAACUCUGUUGGUAGAGAAGAACGUUGGUGAGAGUGGAAAGCUCAUCAAGUGACGGUAACUACCCAGAAAGGGACGGCUAACUACGUG